CUUGACAGCUAUGCUUCUGACACAUGGACAACGCCUGUCAGUCAGCUGAUGUUGAGAGUGUUAUUCAUGCGCAAGCAACAACUAGCAGUUGAGAAGAUCUAAGAAGGAAUUGUUCUGCGCAUAUGAAGCUGACCUCAGCUGCCUGGGGUUUCUGGGAACUUCCUUCAUCAAUGAACUGAAUACACAGCUAUGCAUUUCUUUUAGUUCAUCAAGUUUUGUGAGCAGUAGGCUUCCUUU